rnacentral:rRNA from 1 species
CAUUCUUAAAAAGUUUGUUUGAAGCUAGGUGACUGCGUACCUUUUGUAUAAUGGGUCAGCGACUUAUAUUUACUGGCAAGCUUAACUUUUAAUAGGUAGGCGAAGGGAAACCGAGUCUUAAUAGGGCGAAUUCAGUCGGUAGGUAUAGACCCGAAAGCGGAUGAUCUAACCAUGGCCAGGUUGAAGCGAAGGUAACACUUUGUGGAGGACCGAACCAACUAAUGUUGAAAAAUUAGUGGAUGAGCUGUGGUUAGGGGUGAAAGGCCAAUCAAAUCCGCAGAUAGCUGGUUCUCUCCGAAAGCUAUUUAGGUAGCGCCUCAUAAUACACCUUUGGGGGUAGAGCACUGUUUUGGCUAGGGGGUCUUCACCGACUUACCAAACCAAGGCAAACUCCGAAUACCAAAGAGUGAUUUUAUGGGAGACAGUGCACCGGGUGCUAACGUCCGGACACGAGAGGGAAACAACCCAGACCGCCAGCUAAGGUCCCAAAUUAUAGCUAAGUGGAAAACGAAGUGAGAAGGCAUAGACAGCCAGGAGGUUGGCUUAGAAGCAGCCACCCUUUAAAGAAAGCGUAAUAGCUCACUGGUCAAGUCGUCUUGCGCGGAAAAUGUAACGGGGCUCAAGCUAUAAACCGAAGCUGCGGGUGAAUAUUAUUUAUAAUAUUCGCGGUAGGAGAGCGUUCCGUAAGUCUUUGAAGAUUAACUAUGAGGUUAGUUGGAGAUAUCGGAAGUGCGAAUGCUGACAUGAGUAGCGAUAAAGGAGGUGAAAAGCCUCCUCGCCGAAAGCCCAAGGUUUCCUGCGCAACGUUCAUCGGCGCAGGGUUAGUCGGUCCCUAAGGUGAGGGCGAAAGCCGUAGCUAAUGGGAAUCUGGUUAAUAUUCCAGAACCAACAUAUAAUGCGAUGGGGGGACGGAGAAGGUUAGACAGGCCAGGUGUUGGAUAUCCUGGUGAAGUAUGUAGGUGGAUUUCUUUAGUAAAUCUGGGAAAUCGUUAACACUGAGGUACGGGACUAGCAAAGCUUGCUUUGCAAAGCUGUUAAUACCAUGCUUCCAAGAAAAGCCUCUAAGCUUCAGUUAUAUGUUGACCGUACUCUAAACGGACACACGUGGGCAGGAUGAAAAUUCUAAGGCGCUUGAGAGAACUCAGGAGAAGGAACUCGGCAAAUUGACACCGUAACUUCGGAAGAAGGUGUGCCUCAUUANGGUGAAAAGACUUGCUCUUGGAGCUNGAAGAGGUUGCAGAGAAUCGGUGGCUGCGACUGUUUAUUAAAAACAUAGCACUGUGCUAACACGAUGAGUGGACGUAUACGGUGUGACGCCUGCCCGGUGCCGGAAGGUUAAGUGAUGGGGUGCAAGCUCUUGAUCGAAGCCCCGGUAAACGGCGGCCGUAACAAUAACGGUCCUAAGGUAGCGAAAUUCCUUGUCGGGUAAGUUCCG